rnacentral:rRNA from 1 species
CCAAAAACCGACACAGGUGGACGGGAUGAAUAUUCCAAGGCGCUUGAGAGAACUCAGGAGAAGGAACUCGGCAAAUUGAUACCGUAACUUCGGGAGAAGGUAUACCCCGGUAGUGUGAAGCGCCUGCGCGCUUAGCAUGAUGGGGUCGCAGAGAAUCGGUGGCUGCGACUGUUUAUUAAAAACACAGCACUCUGCAAAGACGAAAGUCGACGUAUAGGGUGUGACGCCUGCCCGGUGCCGGAAGGUUAAGUGAUGGGGUGCAAGCUCUUGAUCGAAGCCCCGGUAAACGGCGGCCGUAACAAUAACGGUCCUAAGGUAGCGAAAUUCCUUGUCGGGUAAGUUCCGACCUGCACGAAUGGCGUAACGAUGGCCACACUGUCUCCUCCUGAGACUCAGCGAAGUUGAAGUGUUUGUGAUGAUGCAAUCUACCCGCGGCUAGACGGAAAGACCCCAUGAACCUUUACUGUAGCUUUGCAUUGAUCUGUGAACCGGCCUGUGUAGGAUAGGUGGGAGGCUUUGAAGCGUAGUCGCUAGAUUACGUGGAGCCAUCCUUGAAAUACCACCCUGGUUUGUUUGCGGUUCUAACCUUGGUCCGUUAUCCGGAUCGGGGACAGUGCAUGGUGGGCAGUUUGACUGGGGCGGUCUCCUCCCAAAGUGUAACGGAGGAGUUCGAAGGUACGCUAGGUACGGUCGGAAAUCGUGCUGAUAGUGCAAUGGCAUAAGCGUGCUUGACUGUGAGACUGACAAGUCGAACAGGUGCGAAAGCAGGACAUAGUGAUCCGGUGGUUCUGAAUGGAAGGGCCAUCGCUCAACGGAUAAAAGGUACUCUGGGGAUAACAGGCUGAUACCGCCCAAGAGUUCAUAUCGACGGCGGUGUUUGGCACCUCGAUGUCGGCUCAUCUCAUCCUGGGGCUGUAGCCGGUCCCAAGGGUAUGGCUGUUCGCCAUUUAAAGAGGUACGUGAGCUGGGUUUAAAACGUCGUGAGACAGUUUGGUCCCUAUCUGCCGUGGGCGUUGGAUACUUGACGGAGCCUGCUCCUAGUACGAGAGGACCGGAGUGGACGUACCUCUGGUGUACCGGUUGUCAUGCCAAUGGCAUUGCCGGGUAGCUAAGUACGGAAGAGAUAACCGCUGAAGGCAUCUAAGCGGGAAACUCGUCUGAAGAUUAGGUAUCCCGGGGACUUGAUCCCCCUAAAGAGUCGUUCGAGACCAGGACGUUGAUAGGUCGGGUGUGGAAGCGCAGUAAUGCGUUAAGCUAACCGAUACUAAUUGCUCGUGAGGCUUGAUCAA